rnacentral:rRNA from 1 species
GUCGACGAUGAAGCCCUUCGGGGUGGAUUAGUGGCGAACGGGUGAGUAACACGUGGGCAAUCUGCCCUUCACUCUGGGACAAGCCCUGGAAACGGGGUCUAAUACCGGAUAACACUCUGUCCCGCAUGGGACGGGGUUGAAAGCUCCGGCGGUGAAGGAUGAGCCCGCGGCCUAUCAGCUUGUUGGUGGGGUGAUGGCCUACCAAGGCGACGACGGGUAGCCGGCCUGAGAGGGCGACCGGCCACACUGGGACUGAGACACGGCCCAGACUCCUACGGGAGGCAGCAGUGGGGAAUAUUGCACAAUGGGCGAAAGCCUGAUGCAGCGACGCCGCGUGAGGGAUGACGGCCUUCGGGUUGUAAACCUCUUUCAGCAGGGAAGAAGCGAGAGUGACGGUACCUGCAGAAGAAGCGCCGGCUAACUACGUGCCAGCAGCCGCGGUAAUACGUAGGGCGCAAGCGUUGUCCGGAAUUAUUGGGCGUAAAGAGCUCGUAGGCGGCUUGUUGCGUCGGUUGUGAAAGCCCGGGGCUUAACCCCGGGUCUGCAGUCGAUACGGGCAGGCUAGAGUGUGGUAGGGGAGAUCGGAAUUCCUGGUGUAGCGGUGAAAUGCGCAGAUAUCAGGAGGAACACCGGUGGCGAAGGCGGAUCUCUGGGCCAUUACUGACGCUGAGGAGCGAAAGCGUGGGGAGCGAACAGGAUUAGAUACCCUGGUAG